rnacentral:lncRNA from 1 species
UGCCAGUGAGGAAAGAAUAAUAUUAAUCGAAGAUCAAACGCAAGACAGUCAUCUCAUCAAGCUGGCAGGUUACAAUGGAAAUUAUGGACACUCAGUGCGCCCUGGAGGCCGUGGAGAGGCUCCAAGCCAAACUGAAGGAGCAAGGGGAGGCACCCAUGCAGGAGAAGCUGUUCUUGCUCAGGACAGUCCUACAGAGCUCUCUGUUCCACCACAUACUCAGCCUACAGAAGACUCAGAGGAAGCAUCCAUUAAAGGGUAAGGGCAUUUCCAAGUCAGUGUCUAUGAACUGUGGAG